UUUGCCCCGCCUAUUCACGUCUCCACUCCUUUCUCUCUCCUGUGAUUCCAUUGCAUCUCUGGUCUACGGAAAUUUGAGGCUUCCGGUUGUCGGUUAGCGUUUCGUUGUAUCGGAGAAGCUCCUCGAAACGUCAAUGGAGGAUUUGAAAGCUAGGGUUGUCCGUACCGAACACUAGGACGUGGGGAGAGGUUCUGGCUGGUGAUGGUUAUGGGGAAGAGAAAUACCGUGGUUGUCUUAUAGUCGUCAGAUGACGAAGAUUAUGUUCCUUUGUUGAGUUCAAAACGAAGUUAUUCAAAGCCGAAUUCCAGGUCAAUGGUUACUCGAACAGAGCUAAAGUGGGGAAGAAGAAGCGUCGCAUUUCUGAUUCUAGCAUAGAAUUUAGUCAUAUAGAUGAGAUCAGAACUUCUUUCCAAAUUCCAAGACUUCGAUGAAGUUAAAAAUUAUAGAGUCGUUAAAUUCAGAGAUAAUGGGAUUUCUCAAAAGGUGAGCAAUUUAGAUCUCCGCUUCUUGGAUUUUUAAUUGUAAUGUUCUUCGGGCAGUGAUUAAGGGAGCCGCCGGUACACUGCAAGCCUCUAAGAGCGAGCAGAGGCGAUAGUUUCAUCCCGUCAUGCCUGGCCUAGCCAAGGUACCUUGUUCAGAUUCCAGAUCUUAAGCAGGGUUUUGCCAUCGAAAAGUGGGUUCUCGAAGAGGCAGUCUCUGGUGGGGAGGGCAUAAUGCUGGCAUCGGAGUAUGGUUCCAUCAGGAAAUACCAACUUCCUCAGA